GGGCCAUAGCUCAGCUGGGAGAGCGCCUGCUUUGCACGCAGGAGGUCGGCGGUUCGAUCCCGCCUGGCUC
rnacentral:tRNA from 1 species